AUACUUAACUGGCAGGGAAGAUACCAUCAUUAUGUAGGUGGUUUUCCCAAGGCAAGGUUUAUCCAUUGCAUUCCGGAUGUGCUGACCCCUGCAAUUUCCCCAAAUGUGUGAGAAACUCAGUUGCAUAAUUUGUGGUAGUGGAGGACUGCGAAAAAAACAUUUCUUUU